AGCAAGCAUGCGUGCCCACCUCUAUGUAAAUGUUUUUCUUAUACAGCCUCUUCAACAAUCCUUUAAACUGGCUCCUAGAACAACUCUUCCCAUCAGGGAAUUGUCCAACUCUGAAAACUACAAUUUAUACUCUUACCUUGUUGUUUCAAUGGGAAAUACAAACCUCCAUCAGCUGACUGGAAGGGCAUCCUACAGGUUCAUGCCCAAACAGCACUUCUGUUAGGAACAGCACCUUUGCAAAACACCAUCAGACAGGACAUCACUGAAUUAAUCUUGGAGGUGAUUUAUGGAGACACGCGUUGCACACAGCUCCUAUCAAAACCAAGCACAACAUGAGCCCAGUCUGGCCCACGGUGUUUAUAUUCAUUUCCAGUUUGCAUCACAAAAAUAGAUGAUCUGUAAUCAUGGCCUGUCAGCUUGGUUUAACAAAAUGAACAUUUCUUUCAGGCUGUGUAUACCUCCACCAGCUCUGUAUAUUGGCUUAAUAAAACAGUAGUUA